GGUAUCGCUUGUGUUCAAGUAACCCUUAUUUUACUUAAUAAUGUUUUAUCCACCUUACUUCAUCUCAUCACAUUGGCAUUUUAUCAUCUCACAUUAUCCCAAGAAGACCAAGGGUUCAGCGCUAACAUACUCUCACAAAACCCUUCUCAAGCAACUACCAGAGAAUAUGCUUCAGCAAAAACAAAGAAGAGGAAGACUAGGAUCAAGCAACCUGUAAAUUCAAUUUAAAAGAGAGAUGAAGGCAGUCCCAGGAUGAUAGUGAUGAAAAUUUCCAGGGACCAUGUUGGAUAGGACGUCUAACAUCCAUAAGGGAAACACAAACAUUCAUAAGAGCAUGAAAAAUCUUUUCUACCCACCUUUCAUUAUCCUUUGAAACAAGUUGUAGGAGAAUAAAAGCAGAUGUCUGGAGAAGUCAUCAAGAAAAACCACAAAUCAAAAAGAGAUUUCAAGCAGAAAUGUUUUUAAUGAACUGGCUGAAGGUUUUGUGUGUUGUUCCCCCGUUCCAUCCCAAUUGAUCCGAGUGUUAGUGGGAGGAUGUUCUAUCAAUCAGUACUUUUCCAGAUCUAAAUGUGCUGUCCUUCUACUAGUACUUUCUUUGAGAAGAGAAGACUUUCUUCUGCAAUCCAGGCCUAUUGCUUUCCUUUUAGUCCACAGUGCAGCAACCUGGAACUGGAAAAC